rnacentral:lncRNA from 1 species
CCCUGUUUAGUUCACUCCAACCCCUUGUUUACUUCACCCUCAACUUCUAACUUUGGCACUAUGCAAAAAGAAGAUUCCUCAUCACAUCAAACUUGCGGUACAUGCAUGGAGUACUAAAUGUAGAUGAAAUUAAAAACUAAUUGCACAGUUUUGUUGUACUUUGCGAGACGAAUCUUUUAAGCCUAAUUAGUCAAUGUUUGGACAAUAAUUCACAAAUACAAACGAAACGCUACAGUGUCCUACAGUGCCAGCACAGUAAUUUGGCACCUCCCAAUUUGGCCAACUAAACAAGGCCCAAAUUCCAACUUUGACACUAUGCAAAAAAGAAUAUUCCUCAGCACAUCAAAUUUGCGGUACAUACAUGGAGUACUGAAUAUAGACCAAAUAAAAAACUAAUUGCACAGUUUUAUUGUACUUUGCGAGACGAAUCUUUUGAACCUAAUUAGUCAAUAUUUGGAUAAUAAUUUACAAAUACAAACGAAACGCUACAGUUGCGCUACAGUAAUUUUGGUUGCCCAAAGUUGGGCAACUAAACAAGUGCCCUAGGAAAAUUGAAGUUUUAAGAUUGGGAUAGAUGCUACCUUGCCUCGGUGGUCAACAUAAUGCAAAUGAGCUUGACUAAAAAAACACAGAAUGCAAAUGCACAGAUACCAGGGAUGCUCCGGGCAAAAUUCAUGUGUGCCCGAACAACCUCAAAUCAAGCUGUAGCUCAAAGCCAUAAGAAAUACUGUAACUGUAUCUCAGUGAAAACAGUGUAGUUUCAGUAAAUACAAAAUCCCGUAUAGGAACAAACUGUCACGUGCGGUAUCUACAAAUGGGACAAGAACCUUGUCAAGUUACUGCUGACUGCUAGGAGGCGAACGAGCGCAUCAACAGUGGAUUCACUGUUGAUUGAUUUUACUGGCGAAUGGAACAGACGGUGCGCGGCUACGGGCCGGACGCAGGUGUCGUCGUGUCGAGCCUACUGCAGUCUGCAGCAGCUCUACAGUUCUUAAUCUUUUUUAUAACAUUAUCGAGGCACACUUUGGCAAUAAAUAUUCUGGUGUACUGCUAGUUUAAUGUUAAUAUGUCUUGUUGUGUUUAAGAAUGACACGAGGGAGUCAACUUGGUCCGAUCCUGUCUCGUCCAUUUGCAUAUAACGGUAUGCAGUAUUGUGUAGAGACAGUAGAGUUGCAAGGCUCUCGAUGCUGAUUCUUUUAUUUUUGCUACAUUUCCUAAAGCUAUAGCUUUGCUGUGGUCUUGUGGAGUGACCGCUGCAGACCGUGCUCGACAGUUAGACGUCCCUGUUAACUAACGGUGUAAGCAUGCAAUCUCCAUUAAUCCAGUCACGUAGUGAACCCAGCAAAGCGAGCUUGGGACGUGCGCGUGGGGCCGCUACAUGAGUUGCGAUCCAUGUCUGGUGGACUGCCACUACGACGCUGUCACGACCGCUUUCCGUUAAACCACUUUAUCGUCACGUAGGACCCGUCUCCGCAUGACGGCCCCGAAUCUGCACGGCACGCCGCGCGCGGCUGGGUCGGCCACCGUACGUUACUCCGGGGCCCUGGAUGGCGGCACGCGCGGCCGAAAAGCCCCGAUCCAGGCGCCGCCGCGGCCGGCCGGCCGCGGGUACGCUACGGUUUGGAGCGCGCGGCGGCUGGUUAGCCUCGCGCGACCUGCUAUAUUUGUAAUAAUUUGGAAAUGCGGGAAAAGAGGUGUUUUUUAAAGCACUUCUUUUUGCAUAUAAAUAUUCAAUCUCACUAAAGAAAAAUGUUUUAAGUAAAACAUUUUUUUUCUUUUUAAAAAAGAAAUCGAAAUUCUUUCGAAAUCUAAUGAUUAGAAGAGCGGCGGAUAAUAAGGAUCCGCACAAAAGAGUUGCAUAGCUUAGCGAUUAUCUAAUAAAUCUUUUAAUGAAAGUAGAUUAUCUUGCUAUUAAGUUUACAAUUUUUAUGAUCUCUUCCCGAACCAAACAUGAAUCUUUCGAUUCAUUUGGCUCUCCCGCUCCUUUUUUUCUCUUUUGCUAUGUAUUAUGGCUAUUUCCAUAUCUUUUUUUUAUGUAAUGAGCCUAUCCUCUCUUUUCUGUUUGUAUUUCUAUAUACCCAAACUUAUAUAAGACUAGAUGAAUAUUAAGAUAAGAGGAUUCUUCCAACUAGAUAAAAAUCUAUCAUGGUCAGCAAAGUUGUUUCUUUAUUUGUGUUUGCUCUGUUAGUUAAUAAUUUCAAUUUCAUUAAGAAAAACAAACUAAAUAAAUGGAAAAUCUAAAUUGAUACAAUUCCUUUUAUUUUUUCUUCAAAUCCAAAAAAUUUCUCUUUUAUACAUAGGUCGUCGAUUCGGCAUUGGAAAAAGGGCUGGAUGCCCUUCUAGUAAAUAGUUCAAACUAUUUUAUCGAUAUGAGUGUUCUAUAUCAGAUAAAUUCCACACUAGCUAUUUCCCGUUUAAAGCAUUUCGAGACUAAUGUAGUUGUAGAAAGAGUACCCCCUUUUGCCCGGACUUCAAGCAGUUUAGCUUUAACCGUGUUAAUGGUCUCACAUUAUUGGUCUAUAGAGAAUCAAAGUAAAUUUACCAAUGAGUCGCGAAAUGCUAUGGUUCUUCCAUAUGAUUUCUGAAGUUAUUCAGAAGUAAUUCGUCGAGAUCGUGCACCUUUUCUUAUUUAUCCAAAAAAAUACUAAAAAAUAUUCUAAAGUGCAGCCGGAUAGAUCCAAUCUAUUCUUGAAAUAGACAACUCGCACACACUCCCUUUCCAAAAAAAAUCAAUACACCAACCACUACAGUUAGAUUUAUUAGAUUUGUUGCUAAAAUAUCGGUAUUAAGCCCGAAACUCCCAGCGAAUGGCCUGUGAGCUAAAAAAACGAAAGAAUAGGUUACAUUUUUCAUAUGCUCUCCUCUUAUAGAUAGGACGAACAAAGAAGAAAGUUUUUCGAUCACUUACUUCGCUCGCCCUUUUUUGAUCGGUUUUUUUAAUGCAAUCUUUUUUUAAUGCAAAUAGAUUUAAUCUAAUAAUUUCUUUUAGAUUAAGUCUUAGGUCUUGUUUGACCUGUAAAAAAUCUCCUUUGUUGAAAUGUUCCCAAAAUUCCUAAAAUAAAAGAAAAAGAGUUUCCACUGUCCUAAACUAAGAAUGGGAAGGAAGAGGACGAGCGUAUCCUCUAAAUUGAUCAUGCUCAAAUCAGCCCUUCCUGGGGUUCCUGGGGUAUUGUCUGUCCCGAUAAAUACAAAAUUCCCGGAAUAAUAUAAUAAAUAGGAGUAAAGUAUUGAUAUACUUGGAAUUACAGAAGCAAAUCCCAAUGUACGAAAAAAAAGAAAAAAGUAUCUAAUCUAAAGGACUCUUUUUCUUUUUUAGGAUUAAACAAAAGGGUUCGCAAAUAAAAGCGCUAGUGCCACAACCAGUCCAUAAAUUGUUAAAGCUUCCAUAAAAGCUAGACUAAGCAAUAAAGUACCUCGUAUUUUACCUUCUGCUUCUGGCUGUCUCGCAAUACCUUCUACAGCUUGUCCUGCAGCAGUACCUUGACCAACUCCGGGCCCAAUAGAAGCAAGCCCUACGGCCAAUCCAGCAGCAAUAACGGAAGCAGCAGCAAUUAGUGGAUUCAUGGUGAGUUCCUCGUGUCAAAAAAAAAAAGAAAUGGUUAAGGAUACAAUCAACCAAGAAAUUAUUACUUCUAACUUCUAAGCUCUAUUGGGUAAAAGUAACUAAUAAGUACAAAUAAAUGAUAAUUGAAAUCGUCCGAAUUACUUCGAGAUCUCGUUUUUAGUUUCUAAUCAUUAGAGGUUUGUGUAAAUCCAUAUGAUUCUCAUUAUUCUAUUUCUCUUUCUUUUCAACCAAUCACUCUUUCAUUCCAUCCUUUUUUUUUACUCUUUGAUAUCCUUGAGUUCCCAUUUUUUCCCCUUCAUCUAACAUAAUAAAAGACGAAAUAUAGGAAGAACCCCUAUUGAAAUCGAACUAAUUCAAAUCCAAUAGGAAUCAAAUCAAGAUAUACAAUUGAUAACAAUAUGCUGCAUAGAAUUAGAAUUAGAUAUGGAAUCCAGUUCUAUAUAGAAGGGAAUUCUACAUAUCGGAUUAGAUAAUGAAUCUAACUUAGGAAUAAAAGCUCGCUUCCACGUACGCGCCCGCGCCCCCGUUUGGUCGCUUCGUUCCGCCGGGCUGCGCUCAUGGUUGGAUCAUUGGAUGCUGCCGCGCCGCGCCGUGUUGGAGUCGGCACAACUAGACGAGCUCCGACAAGUGUAUGGUUGCCAAUAUUCUGCCUUCCUGCAGGCAGCGGGGCCUUGUUUCAAAACGACAGAGCCUCUGUAUACGGAUGCG